rnacentral:lncRNA from 1 species
CUCUGUCUCAGCUGACCGGCUAUCACCUGCUUUAUAAGAUGCCAAGGGCUACCUAUGUAGAUUCUCAGGUGGGACUGUAGGAACAAACCUGUGUCAAUGGUUAACUCAAGUUCUUGGUUUCUGGAGUUUUUCUUUCCUUUAUUAUUAACUAAAGAACAUUUUUACCAUUGCUCAGCUGGGAGCACCAAGCUCAUAGAGCCUCUGCAGGGAGAGUGAAUAAAGUGUAAACAGCGGACACAACUUCUCAUUCGGCAUGGAAUUUUGUUAGGAUCUGCUGUAGCAGCUUGUGAAACAGAAGCACGGGAGUACAGACUGAGCAGAACUAGCAGAGUGAAGCUGAGAACGCACUGGCCUUUGUGUGUGGUGAAUGUGUCCGGAAAGGCAAAGAAGGACGAGAUUCUCCUGUGGGGUUUCUCAUCUCCAUGGCGGAAGGUGCUGACAGCUUCAGAGAGAGCAGGAAGGCGCAAAGAAGAAGGGAGCCUGAGAUGUGUAGUCGCGGCGCUCUGAGGAGAUGAAAAGGACAUGCGGUUUUAGCCUGAACUUCCUUAUCUGUAACUAAGGUUUUAACUGAAAACUUAAAUCAACAAAUAGCCACAGAACUGUUACUAGUACAAAAUCCACCUGGAUG